rnacentral:rRNA from 1 species
GUCCUUUUGUGUUUUAUUUAAGGUCUAGUCUGCCCACUGAAUUUAAAUUUUAAAUGGCCGCAGUAUUUUGACUGUGCAAAGGUAGCAUAAUCAUUAGUUUUUUAAUUAAAAGCUUGUAUGAAAGGCUGGACGAGGUAAAAUCUGUCUCUAUUUAAAUUAUAGUAAAAUUUAACUUUUAAGUAAAAAGGCUUAAAUAUUAUUAAAAGACGAGAAGACCCUAUAGAUCUUUAUAUUUUAUUAAAUAAAAUUUAUUUAGAAAUAUUUAUGUUUUAUUUGUUUAAAUUAUUUUAUUGGGGUAAUAGAAAGAUUUAAUUAAUUCUUUUUUAUAAUAAACAUUAAUUUAUGAAUAUUAUUGAUCCAAUUUUAUUGAUUAUAAGAUUAAGUUACCUUAGGGAUAACAGCGUAAUUUUUUUAGAGAGUUCAUAUCGAUAAAAAAGUUUGCGACCUCGAUGUUGGAUUAAAGAUUAUUUUAGGUGUAGAAGCUUGAUAAUUUUGGUCUGUUCGACCAUUAAAUCUUUAC